rnacentral:tRNA from 2 species
GCGGAAGUGGCGGAAUGGCAGACGCGCUAGAUUCAGGUUCUAGUGAAUGCAAGUUCAUGAGGGUUCAAGUCCCUUCUUCCGCACCA